rnacentral:rRNA from 1 species
UAAUACGUAGGUGACGAGCGUUGUCCGGAAUUAUUGGGCGUAAAGGGAGCGCAGGCGGUUGGAAUAGUCUGAUGUGAAAGCCCACGGCUUAACCGUGGAAGGUCAUUGGAAACUGUCCAACUUGAAUGCAGAAUAGGAAAGCGGAAUUCCAUGUGUAGCGGUGAAAUGCGUAGAUAUAUGGAGGAACACCAGUGGCGAAAGCGGCUUUCUGGUCUGUAAUUGACGCUGAGGCUCGAAAGCGUGGGUAGCAAACAGG